GGAGGGCGCCGCGAACGGGUGUCGUGUGACGGGGGUCGAGGGGACACAGUGUGAAAUAGAGUGUGAGUGAGAGAGUGAGAGAGAGGAAAAAAAGGCAAAUUUAGAUCGACGUGGUUCAAAAAACACCGCCGAAAGGGUUAAACGCACCACAGAAGAGCUCAUAUUUAAAUAUUACUAGUCGACGGUGGAGGACACACGGAACGCGCGCGCAAAACUGCACUCAUACCGCGGUAUUAUCGGUCGAUUUCGCGCCGAUAACAGGUCAGCGAUCGUAUGUGGUGAAUUCACGUCAAACUGUGAUGUCACGUACCCGCGUAUAAAGAAGAUAUGAAGAUUGACGUCACAUGAACUUAGAGGCCAUUCCUUGACGCCAUCGAGAGGGAAACCAAACGCUCAGGGAAUUGUUAUUGCAAUGUGUGCUAAUAGUAGCCUUGUCCUGCUGAUGGCUGUGCUGAAAAAAAUUGUACAGAAAUAUUUUACUACCUACGGACCAUUGCUGCAGUAAAUUCAGAAUUUCAACAUAGUAUGAAAGCGACAAAUAUAAAAUAAUAAUAAAUAAUAAUUGUUUAAAAUAAAUAUUUAUAACUUUCAAGUAUAUACAUACUGAUUUAUGAACAUA